rnacentral:rRNA from 1 species
AGUUUGAGCUAAAUAUAUUAUAAUAUUAGUUUCCUAUAAAGGUGUUGUAAAAUCUUUAUUAAAAUUAUAUUUAGGGGUGAUAGGCCUUUCAAAAACUAAGAUAUCUUGAAUCUAAUUAAAAGUAUGUAGUACAUUAAGACAGCUAUUAAGUGAUUAGGCUUUAUAGAACUAUUAACUUAUAAAAUUUUAUCUACUAUAAUUUAAUAAUUAGGUAAAUAAAUAUAUUAAUAUACAUAUAUUAUAAUUUAUAUAGAAGUAAUUAGAUAAAUUAAAAUUUAUAAAUUUUGUAAUAAUGUUAAUAUUAGUAUUAAGUUUAUAUUUAUAUGAUGAACUCGGCAAUAAUGUUUCUCAACUGUUUAUCAAAAACAUAACUAUGUGAAUAAAUACAUAGCAGUUUCUGCUCAAUGAUUAAUUAAAUAGCCGCAGUAUACUGACUGUGCAAAGGUAGCAUAAUCAAUUGACUUAUAAUUGAAGUCUGGAAUGAAUGAAAAUAAUGGGAAACCACUAUAUUUUGUAAAUAUAUAUAAUUUAUUUAUGAAGUGAAAAUACUUCUAUAAACAUAAUAGACGAGAAGACCCUAGAAAUUUUUAGUAAUUAAGAUUAUUGUCUGAGAAAUUUUUUGUUGGGGCGACAAAGUAGCAUAUUAACCUAUUUAAAUUAUACUAGCACCUUUUUUGUUGUUUGAAAAAUUUACUCUAGGGAUAACAGCAUAAUAUUUAAAAGUUUAUGACCUCGAUGUUGGAUUAGGAAAUAAUAACUUAAAAGGUUUUUUAUAUUGCUCUGUUCGAGCAUUAACUCCUACAUGAUC